GACGAACGCUGGCGGCGUGCCUAAUACAUGCAAGUUGAGCGAUGAAGCUUGGUGCUUGCACCAAUUUGAAGAGCAGCGAACGGGUGAGUAACGCGUGGGGAAUCUGCCUUUGAGCGGGGGACAACAUUUGGAAACGAAUGCUAAUACCGCAUAACAACUUUAAACAUAAGUUUUAAGUUUGAAAGAUGCAAUUGCAUCACUCAAAGAUGAUCCCGCGUUGUAUUAGCUAGUUGGUGAGGUAAAGGCUCACCAAGGCGAUGAUACAUAGCCGACCUGAGAGGGUGGUCGGCCACAUUGGGACUGAGACACGGCCCAAACUCCUACGGGAGGCAGCAGUAGGGAAUCUUCGGCAAUGGACGAAAGUCUGACCGAGCAACGCCGCGUGAGUGAAGAAGGUUUUCGGAUCGUAAAACUCUGUUGGUAGAGAAGAACGUUGGUGAGAGUGGAAAGCUCAUCAAGUGACGGUAACUACCCAGAAAGGGACGGCUAACUACGUG
rnacentral:rRNA from 1 species